rnacentral:rRNA from 1 species
AUGAAGCUACAUAUGACGAACCAUGUGCUCCAAGGCGGCGCCUUCAGGAAGGAAACAACACCGGAGUGCCGCCAUCGCCCAAUCCAAAGACCAGAGUUUCCCCGGAGCCGCAUGACGGGCAAUGAGAGCCGCGACGACGCCUUCAAGAAGGGAACGAUCUUCGCCGCCGCCGGUCCGUCCGAAGAUAGAACAGAUUUUCACCUUGGCCAACAUUCAUCGCCACCGAACGCCACACCCCGGCAACCACGCCGCCUACACGGCCAUGGUGACCGGACAGCACCAAGGCACGGGUUCUGUCCAUGAGCACCACGCUACCACCACCAGGGCGGCGGCCCUAGUAACCAAGACCUGGACACCUCCUCACCCGAGACCGGUCGCAUCCCAAUGAAAAAGACGAGCGGAAUGGUGCCACCUAUCGUUAGUAAACUCCUCCCACCUCUCACAGAUCUCCUCCUCCUCGCCUGAACCCGCCACUUCGGCCCCGAACCCUAACCCUGCGCGCUCCCGUAGGAUCCAACCGGCCAUCAAGCGGUGGCGCCAUCGUAGAUGCGUAGCUCUAUAGCGACCUAUCGGGAGAGCCUCUCCCGGCUCGCUGGCGAGGUCGACGACGCCACGGCAGACGAGAUCCCCGCGCCGUGGCCAUCUCGGCGCGGAGACCACGCCCCUACGCCUCCGUCGUCCGGGCGGCGGAGGCGGUACACCCGCCCGGACCCCGCCGAGCCGGACGAGAUUUCUAAACUCAAGGAAGAUAUUGAAAAAAUUCAAGCUUCUGAGGCUGAAAUAAAGGCAUUGUCCUUCAAUUAUGCUGCCAUGUUGAANNNNNNNNAGGAGCAACUGGUAAAACUUCGUGAAGAAAAUGGCUCAUUGAGAAGAAGUAUGGAGAGCUCUAACUAUAAGGCAGUCUCAGGCAAUUCUAAUGGUACUUUGCAAAGAUCACCUAGCAGAAUGCAAAGGAACACAGAUCAAGAAAAAACAUCGAGUGUCUUAAAACAGAAUGGGUAUGGUGGUGGUGCUUCACAGGUUAUACAGAAAAAUGGUCCGCACCCAUUGCCAGUGCAUUAUAAGGGAGAUGCACUGGUGGAAGAAAGAGCAUAUUUUGCUUCUAAACAGGCUAGUCUUGAAAAUGAAAUUAAACAAUUGAAACAGCAACUAAGGUGCUAUUCAAACAAAGAAGAUGAUACAACACGGAGGUUAGAAGAUGAAAACAAGAGGAACGAAUUUCUUCAGCAGCAGCUAAAUGAACUGAAGGUCGAUAAGGAGAUGGUAGCAACUACCAUGGAAGAGUUACAUAAGGAAUUAAGUGAGAAGAAAGCAGAGUUGAGAUGCCUGCAAGAUGAGUUGAGUACAAGGGACAAUGAGCGUGCAUCAGAUGGAUCUCUUCAGAGCCUUCGAAGUAUGGUGAUGGCUCUACAGAAGGAGAAUUCAGAUUUGAAGAUAGCGAAGGGCAGCCUUUACGAAGAGCUUGUUAAUAUGGAAAGCACAACACAAAAAGUUGACAAUAGUACUUCUGAUGUUGACAAUUUUUCUGAUGUGGAGAAGGUCAAGGACGAGAUGGCUUCAUUGAAGAAAGCUUUACAGGGUGCUUUUCACGAGCGAGACAGAGCAUUACAAAAUUUGUCUCGGCUGAAGCAGCAUUUGUUAGAUAAGGACCUUGAAGACCAAGAAAAGAUGGAUGAAGAUAGCAAAGUCAUUGAAGAGUUGCGGGCAAUCUGUGAGCAGCAAAGAGCUCAUAUAGUGCAGUUAGAGAGGGCAUUAAAGGUUGAGAUGACAAAGCAGGAGGAGAGUAAGAAGACCAUAAAUGAUGAACGCUCGAGGUCAAAUGAACAGAUAGAAGAUCUGCAAUACAAGCUUGCAAACUGUAUGAAUGCACUUGAAUCAAAAGAUCAGGAACUGCUUAAUCUGCAGAGUGCCCUUGGACAGUACUAUGCCGAGAGUGAAGCAAAGGAGCGACUUGGGGAUGAUUUAGCUAUGGCUAGAGAAGCAUUGGCUAAAUUAUCUGAGUCACUGAAGGUGGCAAAUCAAGGAAUUGAAAUUUCAAGAAGGGAAAAGGACGAGGUAGUUGCCAAACUUUCUCAAGCCGAGAAGAUGUUAGCGGAUGGGAAGCGCUCCCUGCAGAAGCUUGAGGAUGACAAUUCAAGAUUAAGGCAUGCGCUAGAACAAAGCAUGACAACAGUCAAUAGGAUGUCACUUGAUUCAGAUAACUCUGUUGACAGACGAAUUGUGAUCAAACUACUAGUUACAUACUUCCAACGGAAUCACAGCAAAGAGGUAUUGGAUCUUAUGGUUCGCAUGCUUGGCUUCUCCGAGGAGGACAAGCAAAGAAUUGGUUCUGCACAGAGCAAUGUUGGUAAGGUUGUUGUCCGCGGUGUUUUGGGUCUUCCUGGGCGUCUAGUUGGAGGACUUGUUGGUGGAAAUUCAGCAGGAAAAUCUACACAUGCACCCCAGGAUAACCAGUCCUUUGCAGAUCUCUGGGUGGACUUUCUACUCAAGGAGACAGAAGAACGGGAGAAACAAAAAGCUUCGGAAGCCGCUGCAAGGCUUUCACACGAAGAGAACCAAACUACCAGUAGGAGUGCAUCAAAUUUACAAGCGUCACAGCACAUUGCAAAUCCUGGCCUUUCCACAAAGCCACAUCAGUUUGAUCGCCCAGAUUCCGAUGAAUUCCGUAUGGUUCCACUUGCGCCCAUGUAUACAUCCAUGCAGACGCCAUUAAAAUGAUCUGAACCAAGUAUAUAGUGCUGGAUGACUUAUUUUCCUUUUGAGGCUUACCUGACCUUGAGCUAUUCAUUUCAUUUGUUGACAAUGUGGUAAUUUUAGUCCAUUCAAAGUUUUUAUUCUCUCUCCCCUCCUGGUGGCAUCUAAGGAAAUAUGUAAAUGGACCCUGUCAGUCAACAGAAGGAACAAUUCACUAUACAAUGUAUGUAGCUUGCUGUCUCUACUGGACCAGUUGCAC